GUGGGGAAUCUUAGACAAUGGGCGCAAGCCUGAUCUAGCCAUGCCGCGUGAGUGAUGAAGGCCCUAGGGUUGUAAAGCUCUUUCAGCUGGGAAGAUAAUGACGGUACCAGCAGAAGAAGCCCCGGCUAACUCCGUGCCAGCAGCCGCGGUAAUACGGAGGGGGCUAGCGUUGUUCGGAAUUACUGGGCGUAAAGCGCACGUAGGCGGACUGGAAAGUCAGGGGUGAAAUCCCGGGGCUCAACCCCGGAACUGCCUUUGAAACUCCCAGUCUUGAGUUCGAGAGAUGUGAGUGGAAUUCCGAGUGUAGAGGUGAAAUGCGUAGAUAUUCGGAGGAACACCAGUGGCGAAGGCGGCUCACUGGCUCGAUACUGACGCUUAGGUGCGAAAGCGUGGGGAGCAAACAGGAUUAGAUACCCUGGUAGUCC
rnacentral:rRNA from 1 species